rnacentral:rRNA from 1 species
GACGAACGCUGGCGGCGUGCUUAACACAUGCAAGUCGAACGGAAAGGCCUGUCCUUCCUUGUGUUGGACGGGUACUCGAGUGGCGAACGGGUGAGUAACACGUGAGUGAUCUGCCCCCAACUUGGGUAUAAGCCUGGGAAACUGGGUCUAAUUCCCGAUAGGACUGCAGGGUGGUGCCUGUGGUGGAAAACGAUUUUCUAGUGGUUGGGGAUGAGCUCGCGGCCUAUCAGCUUGUUGGUGGGGUAAUGGCCUACCAAGGCGGCGACGGGUAGCCGGCCUGAGAGGGUGGACGGCCACAUUGGGACUGAGAUACGGCCCAGACGCCUACGGGAGGCAGCAGUGGGGAAUAAUGCACAAUGGGCGGAAGCCUGAUGCAGCGACGCCGCGUGGGGGAUGACGGCCUUCGGGUUGUAAACUCCUUUCGACCGCGAGGAAGCCGCCUGGUUGGAAGGGUGGUGACGGUAGUGGUAGAAGAAGCACCGGCUAACUACGUG